rnacentral:rRNA from 1 species
CCUACAGGAGGCUGCAGUGGGGAAUAUUGGACAAUGGGGGGAACCCUGAUCCAGCCAUGCCGCGUGUGUGAAGAAGGCCCUCGGGUUGUAAAGCACUUUCAGUGAGGAAGAACGCCUGGUGGUUAAUACCCAUCAGGAAAGACAUCACUCACAGAAGAAGCACCGGCUAACUCCGUGCCAGCAGCCGCGGUAAUACGGAGGGUGCGAGCGUUAAUCGGAAUUACUGGGCGUAAAGCGCGCGUAGGUGGCUUGAUAAGCCGGUUGUGAAAGCCCCGGGCUCAACCUGGGAACGGCAUCCGGAACUGUCAAGCUAGAGUGCAGGAGAGGAAGGUAGAAUUCCCGGUGUAGCGGUGAAAUGCGUAGAGAUCGGGAGGAAUACCAGUGGCGAAGGCGGCCUUCUGGACUGACACUGACACUGAGGUGCGAAAGCGUGGGUAGCAAACAGGAUUAGAUACCCCAGUAGUC